rnacentral:tRNA from 1 species
GCCCCAGUAGCACAGCGGUUAGUGCAGGCGACUCAUAAUCGCUUGGUCGGGAGUUCAAAUCUCUCCUGGGGCA